UACAGAGGGUGCGAGCGUUAAUCGGAAUUACUGGGCGUAAAGCGUGCGUAGACGGUUAUUUAAGUCGGGUGUGAAAGCCCCGGGCUCAACCUGGGAAUUGCAUUCGAGACUGAAUAGCUAGGGUACGGUAGAGGGAAGUGGAAUUUCCGGUGUAGCGGUGAAAUGCGUAGAUAUCGGAAGGAACAUCAGUGGCGAAAGCGACUUCCUGGACCAGUACCGACGUUCAGGCACGAAAGCGUGGGGAGCAAACA
rnacentral:rRNA from 1 species